ACAGUAACACAUUGAGGCAGAGAGAGCAGGGAAAAACACACGAGCGCAGAGAGAGGUACCAGAAUGAAAUACUUACAUCGGUUCUUGUACCUAUGGCAAAAAGUGUUGCCAGACUUAUGACAUCAAAACAACUCAAUCCCGUAGAUUUCUGAAGCAUUUGGGGGGGAAGAAAGAACGAGUUAAAGACUUCUCUCAGAGCGUGCAGUGAAGCCUUUUGUCAGCAGUUGGCAUCAGUCCCAGAUAAGAUGGUAAAAUUGCCCCGGUCGCAAUGAGAUGAAAGAAAAGAAAAGAAAGAAAACAACCUUCAGCGUCAGACCAGGACAGGUGAGAUGUCACCCCGCUGCGGGGAAAGGCCACGUUCGAGAGCGUCAAAACCGUGAUGCAUCGUGGGUAAAUUGUGACUUGACCAAUCGCUCAACAAAUAAUACGAGUUAAUAGUAGUAGUAGUUACAGUGGGCAUCGUAAGUAUUUAUCCCCCCUUGUUGAGUUACAAAGUGGGAUUGAAAUAGAUUUAACAGUGAUUCUUUUUGUAAUUGAUCUACGCAAAAUACUCUAUAAUGUCAGCGAAAAGAAAAUUUUACUUAUUAAUACAAAUUAAAUAACUAAAAUAUAGUUGUUGCACAAGUAUUCACUCCCUUCGUUUAGACAAGCCUAAAUUAGGCUUAACAAAUGACAUAUGGUACAUGGUAAUAGGGGUUGACAAAGAUGUUUGAAUGCCUACCCCUUCUGUCCGCUAUACAUACAACAUAUUUAAGGUCCCUCAGUCAAGUAUUGAAUUUCAAGCACAGAUUCAACGACAAAGAGCAGGGAGAUUUUCGAAAGCCUCAUAAAGAAGGGCAGUGAUUGGUAGAUGGGUAACAAUAAACAAAUCAGACAUUGAGUAUCUCUUUAAGCAUGGUCAAGUUAAUAAUUAUGCUGUGGAUGAUGUAUUAAACCACCCAGACACAUCAAAGAUAGUCAUCCUUCUGAACUGAGCUGCAGGACAGGAAGGAAACUGCUCAGGGAAGUCACCAUGAGUUCAAUGGCUGUGAUGAGAGAAAACAGAGGACAGAUCCACAACAUUGUAGUGACUCCACAAUAAUGACCCAAAUAACAGAGUGAAAAGAAGAAUAAAAUAUACAGAAUAAAAAUAUUCCAAAACAUGCAACAAGGCACUAAAGUAGUACUGCAAAACAACACGGCAAAGCAACACACUUUUUGGCCUAAAUGCAAAGUCUUGUCUUUGGGGCAAAUCCAACACAACACAUGACUGAGUAACUGCCUCCUUAUUUUCAAGCAUUGUGGUGGCUGCAUCAUGGUAUGGGUAUGCUUGACAUCGGCAAAGACGGGAGUUUUUCAGGAUAAAAAGAAACGGGAUGGAGCUAAGCACAGGCAAAAUACUAAAGAAAAACCUGGUUCAGUCUGCUUUACACCAGACACUGUGAGAGGAAUUCCCCUUUCAGCAGAACAAUAACCUAAAACACAAGGCCAAAUCCACACAGGAGUUGCUCACCAAGAAGACAGUGAAUGUUCCUGAGUGGCCGAGUUACAGUUUUGACUUAAAUCUGCUUGAAAAUAUAUUGCAAGACUUGCUGAUCAUGAUCACCAGCACCUUGACAGAGCUUGACAAAUUUUUAAAAGAAUAACAGGCAAAUAUUGAACAAUCAAGGUGUGCAGAGCUCUUAGAGAAUUACCCAAGAAGCCUCACAGCUGUAAUCACUGCCAAAGGUCUUUCUAUCUGAUGAAGGUAAAUAGUGUUUUAU
ensembl:lncRNA